CAAGUAGACAUACAGAAUGAACAUUCCCUUAGUUUUUAAAUUUUAUUAUAAAUGGAUUCCAGAUCAGCAUUUCCCUUGUCCAUGUAUAUGUGGCUGGUGCCUAACCUUCCCUGUAACUAUGCCCAGGGGAGCCUAUUCCAGUCACUAAUGCUGCUAACGAGUCACUCUAAAAUGUGGUGGCCUGUCUAUGUGGGUGUCAUAGACCCAGGCCAUCCUGUU
rnacentral:lncRNA from 1 species